GGGGGGCAAAUGAGGAGUCUUUUUUACAAUUAAUGGGUAAUUUGCGUCUGAGGAUUCACGGUGAUGUUACCCUUUUAUCACCUUGGAGAUCUGAUGCCCCAC
rnacentral:snoRNA from 1 species